rnacentral:misc_RNA from 1 species
AUAUUAUUUGUGGGAAAUGAAAUUUCACACGAUAAGAUUGAAACUGCUAGUGCGCAUUCAAAUUUUGUUUAAAAGAAAGGAAACUAAUUAAUAAAAAAAUUGUAAUUAUCAUUACAGCCCUCGAUUUCCUAAUGUUCCAAUCGGUGUUCAAAAAUUGAAAAUGGAAAGGUGGAGAUUGUGUUUUCGCGCAGGGAAUUAGGGAAACCAUGAGAAGCGUGACAACGCGCAAAUCUAAUGUCCUUAUUUCUGAGGGAGAUGGUAGUGGUGUAAUCGAUGAUGCAGGAUGUGGUGGAGAGAGAGAGAGAGAGA